UACGAAGGGGGCUAGCGUUGUUCGGAGUUACUGGGCGUAAAGGGCGCGUAGGCGGCGCACCAAGUCAGGCGUGAAAGCCCUGGGCUCAACCCGGGAAUUGCGCUUGAGACUGGUGUGCUUGAGUACGGGGAGAGGAUAGUGGAAUUCCCAGUGUAGAGGUGAAAUUCGUAGAUAUUGGGAAGAACACCGGUGGCGAAGGCGGCUAUCUGGACCGUAACUGACGCUGAGGCGCGAAAGCGUGGGGAGCAAACA
rnacentral:rRNA from 1 species